rnacentral:rRNA from 1 species
CCUACGGGUGGCAGCAGUGGGGAAUAUUGGGCAAUGGGCGCAAGCCUGACCCAGCAACGCCGCGUGAAGGAAGAAGGCUUUCGGGUUGUAAACUUCUUUUCUCAGGGACGAAGAAAGUGACGGUACCGGAGGAAUAAGCCACGGCUAACUACGUGCCAGCAGCCGCGGUAAUACGUAGGUGGCAAGCGUUAUCCGGAUUUACUGGGUGUAAAGGGCGUGUAGGCGGGACUGCAAGUCAGAUGUGAAAACCACGGGCUCAACCUGUGGGCUGCAUUUGAAACUGUAGUUCUUGAGUAAUGGAGAGGCAGACGGAAUUCCUAGUGUAGCGGUGAAAUGCGUAGAUAUUAGGAGGAACACCAGUGGCGAAGGCGGUCUGCUGGACAGCAACUGACGCUGAGGCGCGAAAGCGUGGGGAGCAAACAGGAUUAGAUACCCUGGUAGUC